AUGUUUGUGGAUCGUCAUGGACCCAUGUUCCCGCCCUCCGAAGGCAGGGGUUGCUGGUUCGAUCCCAGCCGGGCGCGCCA
rnacentral:tRNA from 1 species